rnacentral:rRNA from 1 species
UACGUAGGGCGCAAGCGUUGUCCGGAAUUAUUGGGCGUAAAGAGCUCGUAGGCGGCUUGUCACGUCGGGUGUGAAAGCCCGGGGCUUAACCCCGGGUCUGCAUUCGAUACGGGCAGGCUAGAGUGUGGUAGGGGAGAUUGGAAUUCCUGGUGUAGCGGUGGAAUGCGCAGAUAUCAGGAGGAACACCGAUGGCGAAGGCAGAUCUCUGGGCCGUAACUGACGCUGAGGAGCGAAAGCGUGGGGAGCGAACAGG